GGCAACUUGGCCGAGCGGUCUAAGGCGCCAGAAUCAGGAUCUGGUCCGAAAGGGCGUGAGUUCGAAUCUCACAGUUGUCA
rfam:Stereum hirsutum FP-91666 SS1 unplaced genomic scaffold STEHIscaffold_10, whole genome shotgun sequence.